rnacentral:rRNA from 1 species
AUUGAACGCUGGCGGCAUGCCUUACACAUGCAAGUCGAACGGCAGCACGGGUGCUUGCACCUGGUGGCGAGUGGCGAACGGGUGAGUAAUAUAUCGGAACGUGCCCUAGAGUGGGGGAUAACGUAGCGAAAGUUACGCUAAUACCGCAUACGAUCUACGGAUGAAAGUGGGGGAUCGCAAGACCUCAUGCUCCUGGAGCGGCCGAUAUCUGAUUAGCUAGUUGGUGGGGUAAAAGCCUACCAAGGCGACGAUCAGUAGCUGGUCUGAGAGGACGACCAGCCACACUGGGACUGAGACACGGUCCAGACUCCUACGGGAGGCAGCAGUGGGGAAUUUUGGACAAUGGGCGCAAGCCUGAUUCAGCAAUGCCGCGUGCAGGAUGAAGGCCUUCGGGUUGUAAACUGCUUUUGUACGGAGCGAAACGGCUCUCUCUAAUACAGAGGGCUAAUGACGGUACCGUAAGAAUAAGCACCGGCUAACUACGUGCCAGCCGCCGCGGUAA